rnacentral:rRNA from 1 species
CAAUAGCGUAUAUUUAAGUUGUUGCAGUUAAAAAGCUCGUAGUUGGAUUUCGGUUGAGAGCGACCGGUCCGCCGUUUGGUGUGCACUGGUUGGUUUUAACUUCCUGUAGAGGACGUGCUCUGGGUUUAACGACCUGGACUCGGAGUCUACGUGGUUACUUUGAAAAAAUUAGAGUGUUCAAAGCGGGCUUACGCUUGAAUAUUUCAGCAUGGAAUAACACUAUAGGACUCCUGUCCUAUUUCGUUGGUCUCGGGACGGGAGUAAUGAUUAAGAGGAACAGUUGGGGGCAUUCGUAUUUCAUUGUCAGAGGUGAAAUUCUUGGAUUUAUGAAAGACGAACUUCUGCGAAAGCAUUUGCCAAGGAUGUUUNCAUUAA